UCUGACCACCUCCCUUGAAGUUGUUCUUAUUGACUGUUCUGCAAAUGCUAAUUUCAUGAAUGUGGGAGCCAAAAAUAACACAAGUUACUUGAACUUUUUUUCUAGACAAUAAGUAAAAAAUGUUAUUUAAAUGAACUGCAAGGACUUGGGCUAAGUGUGGACCGGGAAAGUAGCUACUGCUGAUUCCAGCAGAGAAGAUGCUAAUUACUUUCAUGAUACAUGGCAGACAAAAAGGAGGACUAUAAGGAAAAACCGGCAAGGAGAGGACUGUCUGACUGGUCUGCGCUAAAACUAUUUGACUUCCAACUUGGAAUAAAGCACAACAACUUCACAGCCUGACCUCACCGCCCUGAGCGUGACAUUGGAGGAAAUAGGCCUCAUGGUCUGCCUGGAUCUUCUGGCGCUGAUUCCCUCCAAGGAUCCAGAGUCAUUUUCAAGAGCAGUCAUAUAUGUCAUAUUUUGAUCCACUGGAAAUGGACCUAUUCUGCCUGUACCAGGACAUGUUGAAUCACAACCAUGUGCUGGGAUGACAUCACUUUACAGCGUCAGCAGAAACUGUGGAUCCUGAGGGGCGCAUUAGCCUGCUGAUCUCCUCGCUGUACAGAGUCACAUCCAGACAGCCUGAACAGUUGGAGGUGGAGCCAAGAUCUGGGAGAGGAAAGCAGACAAAGAACAGCAUGUUUUCCAUGGAUCUUGUGAUCUCACGUCUCAAGCUACUAUGGGCUUCAUGGCGCUGCUCCAGACAUGCUUCCAGUGUGCAAGGUCGCUCACCUUCAGUCGGAGCAAAUCGCUGAACACCCGCAUUGCAGUGCAGCCUUCUUCAAAUGUAGCCCACAAAUGCAUCCUACUUUCCGAGGCCAUCAAAGGAUCCAUCUAGAGCUUCAUGCAUGGAGCAAACAUAUCCACAGAGUCAUCGCCCUCCAGUUUAUCAAGCAGAAGACAACUACACUUUUGAAUGGCUGGGUCGCAGAGCCAGCACUCAAAGCAAGAAAGCCCAGAUCUCCCUCUUCCCAGCUGCAUUUUCCAAUACCCUCUGGAGGUUCCUGAGGCAUUCCCAGACCAGGCCAAUCAAAGCAACAAAACACGUGAUGUAGCCGCUAUCGAGCUGCGUGUGC